rnacentral:rRNA from 1 species
CAGUAGCCACGGUAAUACGAAGGGUGCAAGCGUUACUCGGAAUUACUGGGCGUAAAGCGUGCGUAGGCGGUUUGUUAAGUCUGCUGUGAAAUCCCCGGGCUCAACCUGGGAAUGGCAGUGGAUACUGGCAAGCUAGAGUGUGUCAGAGGAUGGUGGAAUUCCCGGUGUAGAGGUGAAAUUCGUAGAUAUCGAGAGGAACACCGGUGGCGAAGGCGGCCAACUGGACAGAUACUGACGCUGAGACUCGAAAGCGUGGGGAGCAAACAGGAUUAGAUACCCCGGUAGUCCCUGUCUCUUAUAC